UGGCCGUUCGGUUUAGGGAUGUCAAUGAGUAUGGAUAUCCGAAAUUUUAUCCAAACCCGAACCCGAAUGAAACGGAUAUAUCCGAUGGGUAUGGAUAUGGAUUUGGAUAUGGAUAUAAAAAAUAAAAACCUGACGGAUAUGGAUUCAGAGAUGGAUUUUGAUUGUACCCGAUCCGAACCCGAACCCGAAUUUAUUUUGUAUUAUAUAUAAUAUAUAUGUAAAAAUUUGAUGUUAUAUUUGAAUUUGUAUUUUAAAAAUUUAAAUUUAAUAUAAUAUAUUUUGAAAUAUUGAAAAAAAAAUAAUUGUUUCAGGUUCAAAUUUUCGGGUUCGGGUUUGGGUUCGGGUUUCGGAUUUUUGGUCGGGUUCGGAUUUGGAUAUGGAUUUUUAAAAUCCGUCGGGUUCGGGUUCGGGUUCGGGUCUCGGGUUUGGAGUCGGGUUUGGGUUCGGGUUUUUAAAAAUCCGCUCCGAAUCCGAUCCGUUGACAUCUCUAGUUCGGUUCAUGCUAUAUAACAGCACUAGUUAUUUCAGCAUAAUUAGAUUUCAGGCUGUUUGGUUCGUGCUAUAUGAUAGUACUAGUUAUUUCAGCAUAAUUAGAUAUUUGAAAUCUGUGAAGCAGAUUAAUACAAAUGUUGAAUAACUAUAUUUGGUUUAGUGCAGUAAUAUAAUGUCGGAUUGUCAUAAAAUUACUCUGUUUCGUUCAUCUUAUAUGUAUUAGUAAUCUUGACUGUAAAGUUUAUAUAAUUCCAAAAAAAAUCCUUACAUACAUAUUUAUUUGAAAUUCAAAUAUAUAAUUUUGAAAUAAAUUUAAAUUCAAAUUUUAAAUUUAAAUUAAAUAUUGGUUCAAAUUUUCAAUUGAAAUCAUGAUUUUAAGUCUAAAUUUUAAAAUAAAAUUUUAUUUUUGAGUUCAAAUUUCAAAGUCAAAUUUAAGAAUUGAACUUAAAUUUUAAAUUUAAGUUCAGAUUUUAAAUUUAAAUUUGAAAAUCAAACUUAGAUUUUUUUAAUUUGAAGUUCAAAUUUAAAUUUUGAUUUUAAAUUCAAACUUCAUAUUCAAAGUCUGAUUUUGGUUUCAAAUUUAAAUAUAAAUUUAGUUUUUGAAUUCAAAUUUUGAUUUCAAAUUCAAAUUUAAAUUUUGAAUAGUCAAAAUUUUAAAGUAAAUUUCAUUCAAGUUUUAAAUUUAGAUUUAGAAUUUAAACUCAGACUUCAGUUUGAGUUCAGAUUUUAAUCCAACUCUUAGUUUCAAAUUUAGAUUUGGAGUUCAAAUUUUUAAUGUGAAUCAGAAUUUUAAUUCAAAUUUAGAAUUUGAACUCAUAUUUCAAGUUAAAUUAAAAUAAAAUUUACAUUCAAAUUCAAAUUCAUAUUUGAAUACAAAAUUCAAAUUUAAAUUUAAAUUUCAAAUUCAAACUUAAGUAAUUCAACUAAUGUGAAAUUUUGAACUUUAUUUCAAAUUUAAAUUUGAGGCAAGUAGCGGUGGAGAAGGAUAACUUUUAAAUUUUGCAUAAGUUGCAGCAUAACAUGUAAUCAGUAAUGCAAGAUACCCAUCUUUUUAUUGUUUUACUAGUAAUAUUUUACGGUACCUUACAAACUAAUAUACAUGACAUUGUUUAAUUGGUGGAAAUGUGCGAACCAUGAAAUGGUUUUUUGAAAGUAUGGUAGAUAAUUUUAAUAUUGAAAUCCAUCAAUUGAGUUGUAUGGUUUGUAAAAUAUUAUAAAUUUGCUUGUAAACAAAGUAUUUUUCAAUUUUUAAAGAUCCCUGUAGGAUUCUCUGUAAUAUAAUAUAAACUUGGCCUUCUUUUGCACCAUGUGUUGUUUUCUUCUUCUUUUUUUUUGAUAAAAAUUUUCUGCGAUAGUGUACGCUCAGAGAUCCAACAGAUUGCUUGUAAUCUAUACAUUACUUCGGAUUUAUUUGUUGAGAAACUAUGAAAACUUAGUAACAACUUUUUUUUCUUUUAAACUAAAUUUUGAAUUGGUAUUUACCAAGAAUAAGAUUUUGUUUUGUUUUUUUUUUUAUUUUUUUAUUUGUUUGUUUGGUUGUUUACUUGUUUUUGGUUGUUGUUGUUGGUGUUUGUGCUGGAACUUGGAGUGGGUCUCCCAAGAUGAAGCAAAAAAGUUUUUAUUUUUGUUUAUUUAUUUAUUUUAUGGUUUCUGAGGACUAUGAAAAAGCCUAUGGCUAUAUGCUAUGGCUAUAUGAAUGCAUUACACUUGGCUUUUGUGAAUGGCCUUAUCUAUGUAAAAGCUCACACAUUGUCCAAGGUGAUCAUCCCAUGUAUAUGCAUUUGAUUGCUUUAAUUUCCCUUUCAUUUUUGCUUUUUGUAAAAGAGUGCUGCUAUAAGAUUACCCUACAAUAUUAUUAAUAAUAUGAUAAUAUAUUAUUAUAUUUAUAAUAAUAAUAUUGUAAAUAAUUCAUCAUUCAUAUAAAUUGAAAAAAAAAAAAAACAACAACAAGAUUAAACGAAGCCUAAGAUUUUAUAUAUUAUAUAUAUCUCAAAAUUGAUAACUUGAAUAGCUGACGUGGUGAUAUAUUUGUAAGUUUACCAAUUUAAAAGAAUGAAUUUAUAUUCAAUAAAAUUUUUAUAGAAAAUUUCGUUCACUAUUUAAUGAAAGAUCAAUAUCUUUGAUCUGAAAUUUAAAUCUUUUAUUAUUAUUUUUUAAAAUUUUUAUUUUUAGCCUUUUAUGUUGAAACUAUUCGGUUUAAGGGUAAAUAAUAUAAACAAAUUAUAAAAAUUGGUUUCAAUAUAGUUUUAGUAGUGUAGCUCAUAUUUAAUUGAGUCAAUCAUCGAUUCGAAUAUCUCAUCAUCGAAAACAACAUAAUAGCAAUGAGGCCUCCGUACUACUGAUAGUAUUCUAGCCUAAUUCAAAUAUAUACAAAGAGAGAGAGAAAGAGAGAGUUGUAGAGAAUGCUUAUAAUAAUACCAACUUAUUAAUGCUUUUUAGUUUUUGGCCCUUGGAUUAAGGGGUCGUUGGAUUACCAUGAUAGUGGUCCAGUUAAGUUUAGAAGUAGUGAAAUAAUAUAAUUUAAGAAAUAUAAAUGACAAAAGAGUAUGUACACAGUAGUUACGGAUUUUUGAUAUCACAACAGCUUCAUGUGUGAGUUGCUACUUUCCAUGAAAUUUGAUUUCUAGAUAUUUUCAAUAUUCUGGAUCAAGCUUAAUGAUGUCGAUCAUCGAUUCGAAAACUUCAUCAUCGAAAAUAAAUUUGUAACAACAGAGCGCAUUUACGACUAAUAGUAUUCAAGCUCAACUCUCUUCUCUCCUUCUCUCUCUCUAUAUAUAUAUAGAAAGAGAGAGAGUAGGGCUACUAUACUCUUAUGAGUAUAGAGCUCUUCGUGUUCAUAAGUUGUUUUCGAUAAUUGAACUUCCGAAUCGACGAUCCACUUCGUUAAAUGUGUUCUAAAGUAUUUGAAACUUUCAGAAAAUAAAUUUCGUAAUUUUUUUUGAAAUCAUAAUAAAAUCCAUUAAGUGGGCAUAAAAUGAACAGUCAAAAUCGAAUAACAUCCUAAAAAUCGAUAAUUGGAUCCUUCAAUUUAAGAUCAGAGUUAUUGAUCUUUAUUUAGAUAGUGAAUAGAAUUUUCGAUAAAAAAUUUAACUAAUUCUGAGUCUUUUACACCGUUAAACUAGCAAGUAUUCCAUACCAACUGUUAAAAAUUAUCAAUUUUGAGAUUUUUUAAUCAAAAGGUAAAUGAUGUCAAAAAUUAUAAAAUUUAAUUUUUUAAAAGUUUUAAAUGCUCUAAAUAACGUUUAACGGUAUGGAUCGUCAAUUUGGAAGUUUUAUUAUUAAAAACAACUUAUGAGUAAGAAGGCGAUCGUACUCAUAAGAGUAUAGUAGCCGGACUCUCUCUCUCUCUCUUUCACUUUCUCUCUUUAUAUAUAUAUAUAUAUAUAUAUANAGGUACUAAAAUAAAAAAGUGUGAAACCACGGGGUUUUUUUGAAGUUUUCCCUAAUAAUAAUAAUGAUUCAGGGGUAAAAAUGUAAUUACACUUCAGUUAGCCGGAAUCGUAUUCCUACGUUCUCCACGCAGAGGUUAACAAGGAAACCUCCCCAACAGGUCACGUAUCAAAGCACAACUUAGCCUCUUAAAAAGGAAGAAACUAUUCACUGCACCGGGUGUAUAAGCACAUCUCAUACGCCACACCUAAUAAAUUUUAUGAGGAAAAUGUGUUUUAUGUAUAAAAAAAUUUAUAAAUUUUAGACACGAAUACUUCCUAAAUUGGAUAAUGUCCCAUUAUAAACUUAGCUUUAUAAAUAUUAUAUGGUAAAUUAUAUAACAUCUAUCAAAUUAAAUUUUAAUUUAAGGUGUAAAUUAUUAAAAUCUAUGUAUUAUGACGCGGUUACAUGUCGCGCAUGUCCGUGUCGGACACAUCUUUGUUCGUGCUAGACUCGUAUUUGACGCAAACCCACCAUGGAUGUGCGUUCAUGGCGCAUUCCUAUGAAAUUUUUUUAUUUCACUUUUUUUAUGCAUAUAUAUAUAUAUAUAUAUAUAUAUAUAUAUAUAUAUAUAUUAGGGCUAUUAUACUCUUAUGAGUAUACACCUUUUUGUACUUAUAAGUUUUUGACAAUUGGAUGAAGAGAUGUGCAGUUAGGAUGAUAGAGGUCCCCGAUUAGAAUGAUAGUGGUCCCCUAGAGUUAAGUGGGUGGUAAGUUGAAUAGUAUGAUCUAAUGGGUGAAAAUGGUCAAAGGGAUAGAUUUAACAGUCGAAAAUUUAUGAGUGCAUAGAGAUCUAUGCUUAUAAGAAUAUAUAGUCAAACUCUCUCUCCCUCUCUCUCUCUAUAUAUAUAUAUAUACAUAUAUUAGGAGUAGGACUAUUGUGCUAUUAGGAGUAUAGUAGUCCUUACGCUCCUACCUUUCUAACCAUCUAUCAAUUUCGAUGGAUGGUUAGGAUGAGAGAGAGAAAAAAAAUUCGGGUGCAGUUGAGUGUCUUAUUUUUUCUCAUCUUUGAAUUUGUAUCCAUUUUUUCUUCUCUCUCUCAUCUUAACCACCAAUCAAAAUUGAUGUAUGAUUAGAAAGUUAAGAGCACAAGAAUUACCCGUGAUCCUAAUAGCACAAUAGCCCUACUCUAUAUAUUAGUUAUGGCAUUGCAUUUAGCUUCAAGCAUGAGUAGCUGCACCACAUUCUCUCUCUCUCUCUCUCUCUCCCUCUCUAUUUUUGUUCAAAUUCCAUGUUCCCUCUUUUUGUUUGUAGCUAAACACAUCCAACUACGCAAAAUUCUUCAGUAGAUCCAAAUGAAGAGUACCUGCCAAAUUAUUUGAUAUAUACUAAAGCAGGACAUAUGGAUUAUCUAAAAAGAUCACUUUUUCCUUUUAUUUUUCUUUCUCUUUGUACAGGAGAUUCUACACUGAAUCUCUGGGAUCAUUCCACAUGGGGAACAACUAUUCAUAUUUAGUGGGUAACCCAACAAUGCCAUUUUGAAUCAUAAAUUAAAAGGGAGAGAGAAAAAAAUUCCAAAAAAAAGAAAAAUCCAACAGUACCAUCCAAUUUCAGAGUUCAACAGCUUUGCUGUGCUGUGGCCUCUGGGGUGAUACAGAACCUUCAUUUAAAAAAAGUGAAGCUACCUGGUGCUCAUUACAUGGUUCCAACUACUUAGAUUUAUCACAUAUAAUUUUUUAUUUAUUUUUUUUUAGAAAAAAAAUAGCGUGUUAUUUACUUUAUCCAAUAAGGUAUUGUUUGGUUUGAGCAUAAGCAAAAAAUGAUUAUUCCAGAGAUAGAUAUAAAUUGAGGUAUAAGCGGGGAUUAGAUCAAUUUUACGUUUGGAUGAAAAUUGGGCUAUUCCUGAGAAUAAAAAAAAUAGCGUUUGGUUAGUUAAGAUGGAAUAAGAAAGAUAGUGGGUUUUAUAAAUAAAAAAUAAUCAUAUUAUCCUCUUAUUAUAUUUGAAUUUAAAUUUUUAAAUUUUUAAAUAUAUAUUUUUAAAUUUAAAAUUUUAACUUUGAAAUUUCAAAUUUUGAAAUUUAAAAUCUCAAAUUUUAAAUUCAAAAUUUUAAUUUAAAUUUCAAACUUUAAAUUUAAGAUCAAAUUUAAAUUUGAAAAUAUAAAAUAUAAAAUUUAAUUUCAAAAUUAAAAUACAAAAUUUAAAUUUAAAAUUAAAUUUAAAAUUAUAAACUUUAUUUUGAGAUUAUAAAUUAUAAAUUUUAAAUUUAAUUUUAAUUUUUAAAUUUUUAAAAUAAGAAUAGGGUGGAACAAUAUAAUACAAUAAACAUUUAUUAUACAAUCAUUUAUAAAUUUUUUUAAAAUUCUACUUAAACUUAAAUUUAAUAAAAAGAAUUUAUUAUAAUAUUUAAAUAUAAUUUAUUAUAAAUUUUAUUUUAAUAUUUAAAUAUUAAUAAUAUGUAUUAAUAUAGUACAAUUAAUAAUUUUAUAAUAAAAAUAAUGUAUUUUAAUAUUUAACAUAUUAUAUUUAUAUAAUUUAGUUUUAAUUCAAUUUAUAAUUUUAAUUAAGUUUGAAAUUAAGCAUUGAAAUAGUGCUAUUCCAUCAAAAUGGUGGAAUAGCAAAUCCCUUGCUAUUCCAGGAUAACCGGGAAUAGCAAGGUUUGACCGGAAUAAAAUAUUCCGGCCAAAUUUCACCCCGUUUGGCGGAAUAGCGGAGAUAACUUUCGUUAUCCCCGCUUAUUUUCCCAAUCAAACGGGGCCUAAGAGUAUAAACUAGGCUACAAUAUUGAGACAACGGGGAUAAGAAAAAAAAUAAAGUAUAAAAAUAAAGGAAAUGUAUAGUACUCACUGUACUCCUACUGUAAGUAAGGUGUACUAUUAUUUGAUAAAAUAUUUUUGAAAUAAUACUAUUUAAGUAAAUGUAAUAUCAAAUCAUCUAUGACAAUAUUUUUCUGCUGGGGUCAAGAAAAACACAAAAUUAAAAGCUUUGUUUUGUUUGAAGUCUCAAAAUGUACGCUUCUGCAGAUAGCGUCGUAUUUUUCUCGUUGUCGAUACUCUUAUUACAUGUUUGGCCCUCAUUGAUAGAACUAUUGGCAAGCAAAAAAAACAUGUAGCUUCCGAUGUGACGAAAAGUUAAAAUGAGAUUGUGAGUCAUAAAAAGAGAAGAUGUAAUUUAGAAGUCAUGAUUCUGCAACAAAGGGAAAAAAGAAAACUAUAAAAAGAGUUUUGAUGCAAUGCAAUCUCUCAAGGGGUGUUGGUUUUCCGUAAAAUAUCUAAGAAAACAGUUUUCUCGUGGGAAAAAGUAUUUUUCUAAAGAACAGUUUUUUUCUAGAAGAUGAAAACGGUAAAAAUUAUUAUUAUUAUUAUUUUUACUGGAAACUUCUUUUUUUUUUUGAAAUAAUUUUUCAGGUAUCUCCUAGAAACCAAACAAACACCCCUUAAUAGUUAAUAUAUAGAGCUUUAACUUACUGAUAAAAUGCUUCAAUAGUAAACAGUACUGCACACAGCUAACAAAGGGAAUGGAAUGUGUGGGCAUGCAUGCAUUGUGGGAAUAUUAAUACAUGAGAGGAGUGCUGCUCCCCACAAGCAGUGGCUAUCAUUGAGACACUGUGCAUUGGCCCCUGUAUAAGCAAUAGGAGUGGUUAUGCAUUAUUAACUCACAUCAUAUGCCAUACUUUUGAUAGGGACAAAGGAACCACUCACUUAUAUAUAUGCAUUAUUGGGAGCAGUACAAAGAAUUUGCAAGCAUUUGGGGGGCCUGUAAUUUUGAGGGAAACCACUCUAUGCAAAUCUAAAAAAAAAAAAAAAAUUAAGAUUUUUUUUUUUUUUUUUUUUUAAGAUAGAGAGAAAGGUAGUAUGUUUGGUGAAAACUAAGAUUGUUUUCAGUAGAUGCUUGGUACAAUUUAGCCAAAUUAUUAGGAUCUUAUUGGUAAGGCACUUGGUGGGAUUUGAGAGAUUUCUUUGGUUCGAAUCCUAAUUUGAUCUUGGAUUACCGAGGUAUCAUCCAUAACUAUUUAGCCACUUGGGCUAGAGCUUGGUAGUAAUUUCAAAAUAGGAGCGUAAUUGUGUAGAUAUCAAGUUUUCUGCACUUAAAAAAGAAAGUUGCACACCAACCGUCCCUAGAGCAAGUUGUAAAGAACUUGGUAUCCGAGGUUUCAAGUUCGAACCAUAAUUGAUUCACAUUUCCAGCUAAGUUUAUUUUUAAAUGAAAAAAACGAAGCAGAUAGCGUACUACAGAGCUCUCUCAAAAAAAGAAAAAGAAAAAAGAAAGUUGCACAAUUUCGGCGAGUAAAUGAGCAAUGAAUGUCAAAUUUUCAAUAUGGGCAAAAAUUUGCAGUGAGAUGUGGAUGGCGAAUUAGAAAUUACUGUAUCAAUCUACUUAUUUGUAAACCUUGUAACAUGAGAAUAUCUGUUCAAGAUUUUUUUUUUUUGGGUUUAUUACAGAGUUGUUUGGAUUGUUUUGUAGAAAUACUAAAUACAACAAAACAAUCCUAAUCAUCUUAACUUUUUCUCUGUUUUUUUUGCAAUUUUGCAGUAAAAUGAGAGCAAAAACAUCUUAACAACUCUCUCCCCCUAACUCCCUCUAAAAAUGGAAUGUUUUUUUUUUGGUAAAAUGAAGGAUAAUCCAGAGCAAUUCAAACACCCUUAAUUGUGCACAAACUCAAUUCAAAAAUAAUAGGUGCCACAACUAUUUUUGGUUUUCAAUUUUUUUUAUUUUGAACUUGGUUGAAGAUAAUAGAUAAAAAUGCCACUCAUCGAAGCAAAUUUACCCUCCAAUUACAGUAAAAUUUAAAUUCUUCAAUGAUGACAUGUGAGACAUAAUGCUCUGUGAUAAAAUAUACAGAUAAUAUUUUUUAAUUUUAUAGUUGAUAGUGAAAGCCAAGAAGACAAAGUGACAAACACAACAUGUUAAGUGAGCCAUCAUCAUCAUCAUCAUCAUCAUCAUCAUUCUAUGCCAAAUUCCCCGCCAUUGAAGAUCUUUGUUUCAUCUUCCCUAAUUGACACAAAAACAAAUCAUCAACUAGUCAUAUAACACUCUUAUUCCUCCUCCCCUUUCCCCAAUAAAGAAGAGCAUAAGCAUAAAGCAAACAAAAGAGGCUCCUCUCUCUCUCUCUCUCUGUCUCUCUCUUCUCUCUCUACCUGGCAUCUUCCACUGUGUCAUGUGAGAUUGUGAAAAGCCAUUUUGCAUUACAAUCUCUCUCUCUCUCUCUCUCUCUCUCUCUCCCCUUGUGUUGUGGGGAGCCAUUUCCCAACUACUCUCUCUCACUCUCUUUGGCAUCUUCCACUUUGUGUUGUGAGGAGCCAAUUCCCAUUAGAAACUCUCUCUCUCUCUCUCUCUCUCUCUCUCUCAUUUGUAUUCUACUCAAAUCACUAUAUUCAUAUAUUCACCAUCCCCUUUCAUUCUCCUCUCUUAUUGGUAUAUCAUCUCCUUCUUUGGAAAUUUCCUCUCUUUUUCUCACUACAUUCCUCAAAGUUGGGUUUUUUUUUUUUUUUUUUUUUUAACUCUGAAAGGGUCCUCUUCCUCACCACAAGUUCAAUCAAAAUCCAAUUUUUAAUCUUGGGGUUUCUGUUUCUGCUUGUUCUUGAUGCUUCUCCCUCUUCAAUUUCUCAAAAUUUUCCACAAAUUUAGUUUACUUUUUACUCUUUGAUCUUGGUUUCUUCCACUUCCUCUGUGGAAUUGGGGCUUCCAUGGGACUCUGCCAUGGGAAACCGACUCAAAGCCCUAAGUUGGAGGGGAAGGAGGAGGAGGAUGAAGGAGACGAGUACGAGGAAGAAGAAGAAGAAGAGGAGGAGCGAAACCCUAAAAUCCCCGACCCCGACGCGCCGCCCCGCUCGAAGCCCUCGAUCCCCUUCUACAUCCCGAGCCCCCUCCCGGGCUCCUACAAGAGCUCCCCGGCGAAUCCGAGCGCCACUUCAACCCCUUUGCGAUUCUUAAAGCGCCCGUUCCCCCCGCCCUCCCCCGCGAAGCACAUUAGGGCGCUCCUCGCGCGGCGGCGCGGCGCCGUGAAGCCCAACGCCGCGGCGCCGGCGCCGGCGCCGGCGUCGGCUAUUCCCGAGGGGGAAGAAGCGGGGCUAGGGUUGGACAAGUGCUUCGGCUUCUCGAGGCAGCUCUUCGCCAUGUACGAGCUCGGGGAGGAGGUGGGGCGGGGCCAUUUCGGGUAUACCUGCGCCGCGAAGCCGAAGAAGAAGGGGGAGUUGCAGGUGGAGGAGGUGGCCAUUAAGGUUAUCCCAAAAGCAAAGGUAGUUCCUUUUUUCUCUUUUUCUUCUCCUUUUUUUUUUCGUAUUACAUACAGUGAGAAAAUCUGAUGAGAAAAGUACUUUAUUUGAUUUCGUACGCAAUGUUACGUUCCCACGUAGCAGUUACUUUGGUGAGAAACACACUAGAAAUAAAGGAAAAGAUAUUGAAUAAUAUCUGAAUGUUUGUAAGGUAUUAGAAGUUUAGUGAGAUGUAUAGAUUAACUUAAAGCUGGAUUAUAAAAGGAUAUCCCAGUAUUUAACCCUUUUUUUACAGAUGUGCAUUUAGAAGUGCUUUUCUUUGUUUGGUUUUAUGAUCAUGAAAAUGCACCAACUUUUUUCGAGUUGUAAUUUGACCAAAAGCCCAGCAACUAAGAAUGCAUAUCAAGUUGACCCACAAAGCUUCUUUAGAACAAAUCAGGCUCAGCAAUAUUUGGUUUGUUCCUAAUUGUAGGAUAAGAUUAAAAGUGCUUCAUUUUUUGGGUGAAAACAAUAAAGUGCACCAACUCUUUUUUUGAAUUUUAACUUGGCCAAAAAUUUUCCAUUUCAAGUUGAUCCAUAAAGCUUGCUAAUAUUUGGUGUUUAAGUGAUGUUGGACUCAUUCACAUUAAAUCCAACAAUCCCAAUCAGUCAUUUUUCUUGUUAUAUCAUGUUCUUAGUAAUAUAAUGGUGAAGCUUAUUACUAUUCUUUGAAGGUAUUUAUCUGAAUAUGUGACAUGGUGUCCGACUAUGGCUAAUUAAUUAUUUACAAUUCACAAGCUUUCUAACAUAUAUUGCUCUGCGACAAGUAUUGAUACCUUCUGCAGAUAUAUUGUUUUUUUCCUUUUAUCUUCUUUCUGUAAAGCAUGUUUUGCAAAUUUGUUUUUGACUGCACUACCAUGUUAACUUUUGUUUGCUUUAUCUGAGUGUUCAUUGAUUAAAAAUCCUGUAGAGCUGGAGCAAUGUCCGAUAAAUGGACAAGUGAUAAUCAAUACCUGGCAUUUAGUACUACUAUUUGUUUUCUACCUAUAACAUAAUACUGUAGUGUAAAAUCUGCUGUGUAGUACUUUGUCCUUUCUCAAUCAUUAAAUGAUGCCACUUAUAAUAGUUUGCCUCAGUUGGUUCUUUGAGGAUGGGAUCUAUAUAGAUUUUUUUUUCCCCUCUUAAAUAAUUUCUCUGUUUUUUCCAUGAAGAACUUAUUUAAACUUUGCUUAGAAUGGAAUAAUAAGCCUGAUCUGUUACUUUCUUGUAAUGAAAAACAAUUAAAAUGCUAAUAUUUACUGGAUUGGCGACCUUUUUCUUGUUUUCACUGUUGGUUUAGUAUGUUGUGUAAAAUAACACUUUUGAGUGUUUUGUUAUGAUAUUUUGAAUUUCAUAUUUGGGGAGCUGAAAAUGGUCGUAGGUGAAGAACUAAGCAUAAAAUAAAUACAUAUGCAUAUCUCGCAUGGUCUAAUGUGGUAAGCACUUUGGCAGAUGACAACAGUUAUUGCUAUUGAAGAUGUUAGACGAGAAGUGAGGAUAUUGAGCUCUCUGACGGGACAUCAGAAUCUAGUGCGAUUCUAUGAUGCUUAUGAGGAUGAAGAGAAUGUUUAUGUAGUCAUGGAGUAAGUCCUCAUUGCAUUUUCUUGUUCUCUCCCUAUUGAACGAUAUUGUUGAUUUAUCUCAUGUUCAAAAUUUAAACAUAAUGAACUGGCAUCUGUGUUGUAGCACAGAGGCAGUAUCCAAAUUUGGAGUCUGCUAUAUUGAAACUUUUGGGAUGAGAAAUACUAACUGAAAAAUGGAAAAAAAAUUCGAAAAAGUGGUUACUUAAAACUUAUUUUGGAAUUUGUGACUCCCUUGCCUACAUGGUAGGAAUGAGAUGCGGCCAUUUCAGCCCAUUUAGGUUGUUGAACAGCCCAAGUAUGGCUUAACUUUCUACCAGCUGAAUAAAAAGCGAACCGAUAUCCAUUUCAACCUUGUUUAGGCUGUUGAAUACCCCGAGGUUCGACUUGACUGUUGAACAGCCGAGGGCGCCAUGAACACACACCUUUCCCUGUCCCGCACUUGCUUUGAAUGUACUGUUUAGGCUGUUUAUAUUACCUUUCUUUGAUCUAGCGCUUCAUAAUCUUGCAAGUAUUAUUUGUAGCUUAUAAUUGUAAUUUUGUGCUCUUCAGAUUAUGCAAGGGAGGUGAAUUAUUGGACAGGAUAUUAUCAAGGUAUCUUUAAAUUCAUGAUAUAUACAUAAGUUACAUUUCCAGUUUCUGUUCAAGUUACCUACUUGUUUGUUUAAGUUUGAGGUUUGAGGUUCGAGGGUCGAACCAUGUGAUUAGCAAUUACAUACACGAUUGGCAGGGGCGGGAAGUAUUCUGAGGAAGAUGCAAAGGUUGUUAUGGCUCAGAUUUUGAGUGUCGUAGCCUUCUGUCAUCUUCAUGGUGUUGUCCAUCGAGACCUUAAGCCAGAGGUAGUAGAAGUUUGUUUAAUCCACUUGAGAUUUUUUCCUUUUUCCAAUAUCUGAUUAAAGUUUUGGAAUGUCAUUUAUGACUCUAUUAAUAAAUAAUAAUAUGUGCUUGUAACUUUGUGUUUCAGAAUUUUCUUUUCACUUCAAAGGAUGAGACCUCUACCUUGAAAGCCAUUGAUUUUGGCUUGUCCGAUUUUGUAAAGCCAGGUCUGUUUAAUGUAAUCUUGAUUGCGACCUUGUUUUUAGUUGUUUCAAAUAUUUAUUUGGUGAGAUAUUUACACAUAUACCUCCUUAAAAUAUCAUCUCUGUACUUAUAUGUAUCCUUUCAAAAUCUAAAUUUUUAUAUAUGCCCUUUGGAAACUUAAUUUUCUUUGACAUGUAUGCUUUAACUUACAGAAAUUCCCUUCUAAGCACCUUUUUUAAAACAAAGAUAACUUCUUCCCAUGAAUCCGUGACUACGAAAUGUGCAGAUGAAAGGUUAAAUGACAUCGUGGGAAGUGCAUAUUACGUCGCUCCUGAAGUUCUCCAUAGAUCUUAUGGAACCGAGGCGGACAUGUGGAGUAUUGGAGUAAUAGCAUAUAUUUUACUUUGUGGAAGUCGUCCUUUCUGGGCCCGCACGGAGUCGGGCAUAUUUCGAGCAGUCCUAAAGGCGGAACCGAGCUUCGAAGAAGCUCCGUGGCCUUCUCUCUCCGCCGAGGCUAAAGACUUUGUCAAGAGGCUUCUUAAUAAGGAUUACCGCAAGAGAAUGACUGCUUCGCAGGCUCUAAGUAUGUUCCUUGUUAUAUUGCUGUUGUUCAAUUCUUGUGUAGUUAAAAUUUGCUUUUCGUUAAAGCGUAAAUUCCAUUUUCUAAAUUUAGGUCAUCCUUGGAUUCGGAAUUCGCGAGAAGUGAAGAUUCCUUUGGACAUCAUAGUCUAUAGGAUGAUGAGAGCUUAUAUAUGUUCAUCUUCUCUAAGGAAAGCAGCUUUGCGGGUACAAUGAUUUUCCUUCUUCCUAUAAAUAUCUAAGUUAUUUAUCCCCCUGUAGCCCUGCUGGAUAAUUUAGUCCUCUUAUUUGUUCGUACUUACCAUAUUGUAUGUAAUGCAAUGAUUCUGUGCACUUUGUAGUAAGCUUGAUUCUCUUUUUAUCUUUUUUGUGAAUGUUAAGAUGCAGAAAAUGAUUCUCUUUUUAUCUUUUUUGUGAAUGUUAAGACGCAGAAAACUCGGCAUACAACAAAUCAACUGGAAUUUGGAUUGAUAGUUUUCAUUUUGCAGGCCCUUGCCAAAACUUUAACAGUGUCUCAGCUGUCAUAUUUGCGAGAUCAAUUUGGAUUACUGGGGCCGAACAAGAGUGGCUUUAUCUCUAUACAGAAUUUGAAGACGGUUAGUAAUUUCCUGCCAUCAUAUAUGCAUGUGUGCGAGAAAUGUAUAUUUAUUUGUGUGUUCACCUGAGUCAACCUCCGACAGGCUUUCUUGAAAAGCUCGACCGAGACGAUGAAGGAUUCAGGGGUUCUUGAUUUUGUUAACAUGGUAUGUCUCCGCAUCCUAGUACACAAUUGUUACUUCUUAAUCUGAUUGCUCUGAAACAAACUUUCCAAGAAGAUAAUUCGCUCCGAUGACGGUUUUGUAGGUGAGUUCUCUCCACUACAGAAGGUUAGAUUUCGAAGAAUUUGUCGCCUCGGCAAUUAGUGUUUAUCAGAUGGAAGCACUGGAAACGUGGGAGCAGCACGCCCAUCGUGCAUACGAAUUCUUCGACAGGGACGGCAAUCGGCCAAUUAUGAUCGAAGAACUCGCAUCGGUACGAUUCUCAUAAUUAAGUCAUUUUUCUAAGUCAUUUCUAUUUUCACAGUUGAACCCAUUGAUUACUUUAUGGGCUACGAAGAAAAUUAAUAAAAUUUCUAUGUUUUUUUUUUCCCCUUUCUUAGGAACUUGGUCUUAGCCCUUCAGUCCCUGUUCAUGUUGUUCUGAAAGACUGGAUAAAACAUUCCGACGGGAAACUUAGUCUCCUCGGAUUCAUUAAACUUCUACAUGGGGUUUCUUCGCGGUCGAUUCCCAAAGCCUAGCCAAUGAAAGCCUAAUCCUGUGAAUCCCGAAAUUAGCGCAGAUGAUAAGGUGGUGCAGAAACAAGAUCAUCAGCUUUUAUCACAAGACAAACAAGGUCAAUUUUCUGUUUCUUUUUUUUUGUCAGAUUUGUCACUUCUUUUCCCUAUCGAAUGGAUUGAUCACAGAGCGAAGUCGCUCAGAUGAAUGUAUAGAUUCAGGAUAGUAACUAGAAAAGUUAAAAAGUAAAUCCAUGCUAGGUUUAGUUGGUUCUCCUCCCUGUAGACUCUCAAAUCUCAUUACUCAAUUCUCAAUUAUGAGUAGGGAACUUAAAUUUUGGGGGUGAAAUAGUGUCUAGGGCCUUUUUUCUCAUCCUAUGAGGUAUCAAUGUAUGUAACGAUGAUUCUGCCCAGUAGCAUUAAUAACUUGUUGGGUCCAACCACUGGCCUAAGAUGCUUAAGGAAGAGUCCGUACUCCGUUAGUAGUAAUUCCUUUUCCAUCCGAUACAGGAUUAUUGAUGUGUCACCACCCAAGAGAAGCCUAAAAUGUUGUUAACACCAAAACAAACCACAAAAGCUUCAUCUAAAUGAAAACGUUGUCCAUUUUACUAUGAAGUUUAAACAAGUAGACACUAUUGAAGAUAAUGAAAACAUCGAAACAUCGUCCAGGGACACUAUUCAGCAUGCAUCAUGUGAUUGGUCACAUGCAUUGUACCUUCAAGUAUCAUGCUUAGUUAUUUUUGUUUCCUCUUUCAGUUUCUUUCUUCCGAGGGUCAGUUGGUUGAACGUAAUUGUAAAUGCAAUGUAGUUAGAGAUGCAUAUAGUUGAAAACACUGCAUGUACCCUUUUUGGUUGAAUAGAGUGAAUAUUUGGUUUCAUGUGGUUGAAUUUUGUAUUUACAAUUUUUUUUGCUUUUUAUAUGGAAUGGUGAGGUUGCUUUUAAUAUAUAAGGAAAAAUGUCUUCUCUUUAAAAGAUGAUUUAAGGUUGUAAGCUUAUUUUUUAUUUAAAAUUAUUCUCUUUAUUUGUUACAAUUGGAACUGUACCCAAUUUGGACGUAGUCUUAAUUUCUACUGUUGAGCCUCCUUAUGCUUUUCCAACUGCAGUGUUGGAUUUAAAUGGAUCAAAUUAAACACCAUAUCGGAAUUUGUAUGCAGUUAUAAUUACGGUACAGUUGCAACUACAUGUCCUAAGUAAAUUUCUGGUUACUGGGGAUCAUCAAAAAAAAAAAUUCCCUAAAUUAUUCUGUUCUCAGAUGCAGUAAGUGCUUUUUUCUUAAAACAUAUUUCUAUAUACAAAAUUAUACUUGGCCUGGUGACAACAGUAUUUUCUCUUAAGAUAAACCUUUUUGAAUUGGCCUUGUUUAGAUUCUGCAAUAGGAUAAGCUUGGUUCAGAAUAGUAUUAAAGUUGGAAAAUUAACUAGUUUUGAAUCCCUUUUCCCCUCUCUCUCUCUCUCUCUCUCUCUUGGAGAAAAUUGCCUCUGUAUCCUUGUACAAGUCCUAAAUUUUGUAUUUACCCUUUGUUUCAAAUAUAUUCCAGAAAAGUUUUUUUAUGUAUGUACCCCUGUUUUGAGGGUUUACUCAAAACAAUUAGGUGAGUUUAGAAGGAUAGGUUGAGAAUAGUAAAUUUGUACGGGAGAAGUCGGGAACUUUUUAAGAGUAUAUAAGUAAGGAACUAGUUUUGAAUCUUUGGCGAUAACUUGGGUAGUAUAUGAAAAUAUUUUUCUGUAAUUGCAAGUUGAGAGAUACUGCUUUCCAGCUAUUGUUAUGUAAUUAAAUCUUACAUGCACAGUAAUCUCUAUUCCAAAAAAAGUAAUAUAUAUGUUGAUCAUAUUAUUUGAUUAUUGAUACUGUUUUAUUUGUCGAUCAAUUGUGUGGAGAACAUCACCGAUCAUACCUAGCACAGCUUGUUAAGAAUUUGAUAUUUGAUAAUCAAAAUUUCAAGUUUGAAAUCAAGUUGCUUCACAUUUAUAGCUGAGUUCAAAAAAACUAAAUUCAAAGCGGGUAGCAUGCAGUGUCUUUCUCUCUCAAAAAAGAAAAAAAUAUGGAGAACAUCACCCAAAAAAAAAAACAAAUAACCACAAAAAUGUAUUAAAUUUGAAAAUAAAAUAAUAAAAAAAACCUGUUCUGAUGUUCUUCUAUUUGCUGAUAAAUAAAAUUGAUUAUUAAUAGAAAUAAAAUUUUAAGAAAAGGAAUUUUAAAAACUGGAGAUGCGGGGUAUCGAUCCCCGUACCUCUCGCAUGCUAAGCGAGCGCUCUACCAUCUGAGCUACAUCCCCUGCUGGAAAUUUCGUGCAGUAUAAUAUUUAUAUUAUUAAAAUGUAAGAAGUACGCAAUAAUUAUUAUUAAAUAAAUUAAAUAUAAUAUUAUUUUAUAUAUAAAUUGAGAGGUUCUCGAAAUCGAGAGAUCACGCGAGCGGAGGCUACCCCUCGUCCUCCUCCUCCUCUGCUUCACUCUCUCUCUCUCUCUCUCUCUCUCUCUCUCUCUCUCUCUCUCUCUCUCUCUCAUGGCGAUCCCUCGCAUGAAGAAGAGGCCUCGCCCUCUCCUCCUCCUCGCCCUCACCCUCGCCCUCGCCGCUGUGUCCCUCGUCCUCUUCGGGAUCCUCUUCUUCUCCGCCGCAUCCUCGCUCCCCACCCUCGGAUCCCUCCUCUUCUCCUCCCCCGCCCACUGGUCCGCGAGCGGCGGGGGCGGCGGCGGCGGCGGAGGAGGAUUGUACGGCCUCGAGCGGCGGUACCUGUACUGGGGCCACAGGAUCGAUUGCCCCGGCAAGCAUUGCGAGUCGUGCGCGGGGCUAGGGCAUCAGGAGUCGAGCCUCCGAUGCGCCCUCGAGGAGGCCCUCUUCCUUCAGAGGUCGGAUCUCUUCGAUAUCUUUAAUUCGUUUCUUCUUGUGAUUAAUGGUUUAGUAGUAGCUUUACAUUUACUUCGCUGUGUUCUACUGUAAUUAAAUAUCAUCAUUGGGUUUGGUUUGAGAUCUAGUUUUUCUCUAGGUUUAAUUUUUGUAGUUGGAAAUGUAUGGAGACCUUCUCAACUAUAGAUCAUUUUGAAAUAGGCCCCUCGAAGAUCCCAUCAAAUUUUAGUUAUUUUGAUUGGGGUGAUUCUCCUGAGUUUAAUUGGGGAUUUGUCGAAAUUAAUUGCUCUGUUGAAAAAAAAAAGCUUUUAAAACAGUCAAAUUUAAUUUAAUCACCCUUAAAUUUAAUAAAAAUCAAAUAUUGGUUGACGAAAAUAAUGCAGAUCAAAAUAUCAAAGUUAAGAGCAUCUCAAUUGAAAAAAAAAAAAGAAGAAAGAAAAUUGUUUAGUGGUCUAUUCCAACACUGCUUAUAGUUGAUGGGGUCCCUGUUAGUUGUCUUUGUAAGAAAUAUAGAACUUUUGGUCCAACAUGAUAUUUAUUGCUCCUUCCUUGAAUUUAGGUAAAAGCUUAUGGAAACCCCCUCAACUAUAGGCCAUUAUGAAAUGGUCCCCUCAACUUUAAUUUUUUGAUUGAGUAUGCUUGAACUUUUGAUUUGAUUCAAUUGUAUCAAAUAGAUUGGAAAUUUUAUCAGAUCCAUAGGUAUUUUUUCCGAAUUAAUGGCUUUUAGCAUAUAUAACUAGACCAACUAAAGAUUAAUAAUUAACAAAGUUAUUUAAGGGGUCUGUUUUAAAAUAACCUAUACUUGAGGGGGGUGUCCAUACAUUUUACCGAGAAUUUGUUACCUCUUGCUAGUAGUUAUUGUACUUUGGCCUGAUCGUAACCAAGCUUUGCUACGCUUUAACUAUCUCAAGUUUCCUUACAAGAACUAAUUGUGCACACAAUUCUAGUAUGAUCAGGAACUGAAUCUCGGUAAAGUUCUAAGAUUUGUUGUUUCUUUUCUAUGCAGAGUGUUCGUGAUGCCUUCUAGAAUGUGUAUUAGCUCGAUUCAUAACAAGAAGGGAAUCUUGCAUUCCCCUAGUGAUGCAAGUUCAGAGGAAAGGUAAGCUUAUCAAGUACCAGUCGCUAGCUGUUUUAAUUUUUAGUUGUCUGACAGUAUUUAGAGAUAAUAUAUCUGAGAAUUGACAAUUUUAUCAGUAGAUGUCUUACAGCAGCCUCUUGUUAUUUGGUGUGUUUUGAUCACUAAAUCUUUAUGUAUGAUGCAUAAUGUCAUAAUUUUAUUUCUAUCAUUCUUGUGCACUGUUAUUAGCUCAGUUUCUUGUGGACUGUUCAGGUUUUUCUAAUGUAUUGUGCAUUGUUUGAACCAAAUAUAUCAAGUAUGAUUAGUUGUUUCUCAUUUAUACUUCUGCUUUACAUUUGCUUGACCUGGAAAAUAUUUUUGACGUUAAUCAUUUUAAGAAUCUAAUUCUAGCUUAGAGGUAGUUUAUUGUUGUGAAUGGUAGUCAUAUCUUUUACUCUUUAUUCUUUGAUCUGUUUAUGUUGCAACUGUACCCUAAUUAUAGUAGCCAGAAGAGAUGUCAAAGCUAGAUGUUGGCAAUAUGUUUUCAAUUUGCAUUGUAGCAUUUUGACUUCUGUUAAGUGUUAAAAUUUAUGAUUCAAAUUUAAAUGCUUUACAGAUGGGAAGCUAGUUCUUGUGCGAUGGAUUCUUUGUGCGAUGGAUUAUUUGGUGUGUUUUGAUCACUAAAUCUUUAUGUAUGAUGCAUAAUGUCAUAAUUUUAUUUCUAUCAUUCUUGUGCACUGUUAUUAGCUCAGUUUCUUGUGGACUGUUCAGGUUUUUCUAAUGUAUUGUGCAUUGUUUGAACCAAAUAUAUCAAGUAUGAUUAGUUGUUUCUCAUUUAUACUUCUGCUUUACAUUUGCUUGACCUGGAAAAUAUUUUUGACGUUAAUCAUUUUAAGAAUCUAAUUCUAGCUUAGAGGUAGUUUAUUGUUGUGAAUGGUAGUCAUAUCUUUUACUCUUUAUUCUUUGAUCUGUUUAUGUUGCAACUGUACCCUAAUUAUAGUAGCCAGAAGAGAUGUCAAAGCUAGAUGUUGGCAAUAUGUUUUCAAUUUGCAUUGUAGCAUUUUGACUUCUGUUAAGUGUUAAAAUUUAUGAUUCAAAUUUAAAUGCUUUACAGAUGGGAAGCUAGUUCUUGUGCGAUGGAUUCUUUGUACGAUCUAAACCUCAUUUCAAAAGUAGUUCCAGUGAUUUUGGACAACUCCAAUCUGUGGCACCAAAUACUGUCAACAAGUAUGAAACUAGGAAAGAGGGGGGUGGCUCACGUGGAAGGAGUCAACAGAUCUGAUCUCAAAGAAAAUAGCAUGUACUCAAAUGUGCUUCUAAUAAAUCGCACUGCAAGUCCUCUGGCAUGGUAAAAUUUGUUAUUAUUAUUUCAUUAAGUAACCUUUUAUUCCUUCUUCUUGUCAGAUUUAAUAUCUGGGAUGCGUUUCUUUUACUCCUUUAAAUAUCAAAAUCGAUGAAAGAUGCACAAUUUUGCUAGGUGAAUGUUUGAAACAUCAAGCGCUAGUCUUGAUCAUGAUAACCAUCCAGGUUUAUGGAGUGCAAGGAUAGAACCAAUCACAGCUCUAUUUUGCUGUCGCACUCCCUUUUGCCAACCAUGGCAGCUGAAAGAUUGCAAAAUGUGGCAGAUAAAGUAUGUCUUCUUCAGCUUUUUCUUCUUCUUUUUCCCCUUUAAUUUCGUGCUAGGUGAGAGUGUGACUUUCUUUCUUGUCCUGGAAUAUAUGCAGCUUAUCCUUCCCGCUGUUGUCAAUUGUUACUUGUUUCUGAUUUGGAACUUUCGAUAACCCAGCUCUUCCUAUAUUCAUGAUAGACAGGAUGUACACUCAUGUCAUGAUAAACAAGAUAUACUCCCUUAGGACUACUUCUGUAAUCCGCAUCUUUCAAAUGUCAAACAACCUCUUUACAUUUUUAAGCCCUAUCAUCCAACUAGAGUUGUGUUUCAAUUGCUUUCUUGAGUAGUCAGUGCUGGGUGAUCUUGGUCGAUUUUAAUAGAUGAUUAUUUUCAGGCUAGGUCUCUCUUUCCAUGCACCUUUCCGUGAGUAGGGAUUUUAUUUGUUUCCCAUCGAAUUGGCACACAAAAAAUCAGCUAAAUAAUUUAACUUGUUAUCAGCAUUAAGCUGUUCCUGAUCUCAUCUAUUUGAGGAAAAGAUGUUUGUAUUAGCACUUGAGCCACAUCCGUAUAAUCCGAAUAAUUAAUUAGAGUGACUUGCUCAUAGUAUAAGACCUGUAACUUACCUGUUAGUUUGUUCAACAUAGACAUGUAGUAUUGGUAAUAACAUGCAACACAGUUACUCUUUAGGCACUUGAUUUGGCAUAUACGCCUAGUUUUUAAACAAAACCCAUGUUGAUAGCAAAGCCAACUUGUGGGCAUUGAUUAAGCUACUCCUACACUGCCUACGAACUGACUGAAUUAGACUUGUCUUAAAGUUAUGCGAAAUAGUUAAGAGGUUCGAGUGACCAUAACAUGCUGAGUGUUAUAGUUUAUAUUAUUUGCAUAUCUCUGUGUACAUGGUCCUCUUAUUAAAGCAAAAUGCUCUUUCUGUGUGCGGCCUUCAUUUAGCUUACAAAAAAGUAUAUUCGAUGCAGAUUAAAAAAUCACUUGGUGAUUAUGAUGCUAUUCAUGUGCGGCGAGGGGAUAGGUUGAAAACCAGGAAAGAUAGAUUUGGAGUUGACAGGAGCCGUCAUCCGCAUCUCGACAGAGACACCCGCCCUGAAUUUAUACACCGGAGGAUCGCAAAAUGGAUUCCGCCUGGACGUAGUCUAUUCAUUGCUUCAGAUGAGAGGACUCCCGGCUUCUUUUCGCCUCUAUCCGCCUGGUAUCCCCUAAUCCUUUUUAAUAAUAAUCUGAUCAGUUUAUUUUGGAAUUUACUUCUCAGACCCAUACAAGUCCAAGAUACAUGCGUGUAAGUCCCUUGUCUCUUUUGAUUUUAUGGACCAUUGAUCUUAAGGACUACUAAAUUAUGAUAAGCACUUUAUGUCUAUAAAGAGUUGGGCUUUUUUUUUUUUUAAUGCAUGUAUCCUAUUUUUACUUGUUUUUCUGUUUUAUUUUGUGCCUCAUUACCUCUUAUCGCUUAACCUAAAUAUUAUUUAUAUUUCUCAGCCAUGCAAUUCUUGUCCAACAUAUAUUCAUCUAUAAUGUUACUAUUUCAGCUAAGAAACUAAAUAUUCUUGUGAUUCCACUUGGUCAAUGAAAAUGCCUGGAUAUUGCUUUCAUGUGAUUAAUCAAAAAAUUACAAUAUUUUGUCACCUGCAAAAUUGAGAAAAAGUUUUACAUUCUUGAAACAAGUUUACCUACUAUUUGGACACAUUUAUUGUUCUUCAGGUACAAAUUAGCAUACUCAUCAAACUUCAGUAGCAUAUUGGACCCGGUAAUCGAAAACAACUAUCAACUUUUCAUGGUCGAAAGGUUAAUUAUGGGAGGCGCGAAAACUUUUGUGAAGACAUUUAAGGAAGACGAGAAUGACCUUUUCCUCACAGACGAUCCGAAGAAGAAUCCGAAGAAUUGGCAAAUGCCUGUUUAUACUGACGAAGAAGACGGAAGCUGAAAAAUGGAGAAAAUGCACAAAAGUGCGCACAGCUUGCCUACAUCUUAGUGAGCUUACAAAAUUCAAAUCAGUGAAUUCGACACCUUACUGAAAUAUCGUUUUUAAAUUGGAGGUGUUACUCAUUCUUUUUUUCCUGUUUUUUUGGGGGGGCGGCGAAGAAAGAAAAAAGAAAACAAAGAUUGGAACAGUUGUAUAUUCUGCAAUGCAUAUUUUUUGUGUUACAUGACAUGGAAGAGAUUGUAAACUGUGAUUAUCGUAUUCUUGAGUAAUAGUAGUCAAAAGACAAUUUUAAGACUCAAAUUUGAAUUCGAUUUUUCUUCAUAUACAAAUUUGAAUUCGGAUUCAGAUAUACAUGCAUUCAAGUAUAGACUCAAAGCUAGGCCUGUGAUCUUGAAACAUAAUAAAAAUUUAUAUCCAAAUAUUUAUAUUAAAUAAAGUAUAAUCUUUUCAAAUAUCCAUAUCACGAUCAGUCGCUGCCGUUCCUCCUGCUACUAAGGCCCAAUUUAUAAUUUACGAAAUAAUACUAUCAAAAUUUUAUUUAGUCAAAUAAUUCUAUUUCGUAAAGAAUUAAUUAGUCAAAUAAAAUUUUAUACAUUUUUUUUAUUCUAAUUUUUAUAGAGAUAUUAAGUAAAAAAAAAAACCUUUAAAUAUCGUCCCCGUGGUUUCACACUUUUUUAUUUUAGUAUCCUAUAAUUUAAAGUGUAUCAAUUUAGUAAACCGUGAUUUUAAUUUUCUCUUUUUAUUAUUUUUUGCACUAAUUUUUUUCGUUAAAUCGGUGUUAAAUCGGUGAUAUAGUUAAAACUAAAAAAUACUAAAAUGAGAAUAUUCGAUAAAUUUAGAUAGAAUAUCUGAAGUAUUUUUAUAUAUCAUUUAACGAAAUAUUAAUGAAGAAGCUGACGAAAAAAAAAAAAAAAAAGUACUAAAUUGUUAUUACACUUUAAACUAUACGUACUAAAAUAAAAAAUUACAAAAUAAUAGGAUGAUAUUUAAAAUUUACCCAAAAAAAACAAGGAAGAAAAAUCCUUUGGCCCGAAGGCAUUCCCCCGUCGCUUUCAGCCAGUGGCAUCUGCGUCGCGCAGGGCCGCUAAAUCGGUCGGCUGUCUUUACACGGGCACGGAUCCACUGGCGCCACGCGGCCCAAUGGGAAAUCAGAUUUAGAUGGAAUUUCUUCUCAGCCACACACACCGACACAUGAUACAUCACACAUACAUCCUCCCUCACCCACAAAACCAACCAUCUAUACAACUUCUCGGAGAAGCUCCUCCCCCCUCUUUCCCAAUUUCCUCCCCCCUUAUCCACAAGCGCUUCUCCUCAGUGUUUUUUUUUUUCUCCUUUUUUUUUUUCAAAAAAGAGAUCUUUCUUUUUGUUUAUUGAUCCCUCCAUCUCUUCUUCCACCACCAAAUUACAGUAAGAAUCCUUAAAUUCUUCUUCUUCUUCUUCUUCUUCUUCUUUUGAACUUUUUCUUCUUUUUUAGUUGUUUAAGGGUGCUUGCUUUUGAGGUUUAUUUGAUUUUUACCUGCUUUUCUUGGGUCGGUUUGGGAUUUUGGAUCUUGGAUUUUGGAUUAUGGAUGAUCGUGCUUUGUAAUUUUAGUUCUUCUUUGUGGGUUUUACUUUUCUUUUUCUCAUGUAAGUUAUAAGUGGAUCUGUGCCCUUUUUUCUUCACUUGAUUUCUUUUUUCCUUCUUAUUCGAGUCUUUUUCUGAAAAGAUUAAAUUACUACUAGUAUGAAUCUAUGCUUUCUAGCUUAGUUUUACUUUUGGAUCUUACUUUUUUUUAAAAAAAAAAGAAAUUUAACUUGAUUUUUCCUGAUAUGAUGAUCGAUGUUUAGAAUUUUGCUUAAAAAAAGGCCAUAUAUAUAUAAAUAUAAAUGAGAAAAACCAAUUGUUGUGGAUGCGAAAUUACCAUGUUUUUAUAGUUUUAUUAGCUUUGUAUUCCCCAUUUUUGCUUACUCUGCUAGAAAAAUGAAAGUGAAAAUUAUCAACUAACAGGUCUUGAUCAUGUGGAAUUUCUUCAGAUCCACAUGAAAAAAGAGAAAUUGCAAAAUUUUACUACCAUCGCGAGUGUUUCGAUUGCUUAUGUUGAGCAGAUUCGAUAAUCUGACAUGUUCUUAUUUACAGAUAAGCAGCAUGGAUUGGUAUUUCCUCGAAGAAAGCGACGAUUUUCUUGUCCCGAGUGAUCAAGAACCCUUUGGAGAUGUUCCUGCGUUUUCAGAUGACUGGCGUUCUUGGGCCGUCGCUCCGCCAAAAGUUUCUCAGCCGUGCGGGGAUGAUGCUCUUCUGCAGCACGGUCGAGGUUUAUAUGCUGACGAAAUGAAGCAGAGUGCAUUCAAAGAGGGAGAAAGAGGAUUCGGUGAUUCGACCGCACGGGGAGAGUCUACGCCGCUCGAUUGCUGUCCAAGAAGCUCGGAAGAAUCGUUCGAAUGUCAGACCAAGUGCGAGAUGCCGGACAACUUGGAGGAAAUGGAUAACAUUUUCUUGUGCAAGCAUAACUUCCGGGAUCCUUGGUAAAAUAUACAUAUAUAUAUAGUUUUAGCUCCUAUUGGAAAUAAAGUAGUUUGUUUUACAUAAAAAGUAGGGCUUAAAUUACAUAUCUGUAUGUUAUGUGUAAAUUAAAAUGUAGUGGAUCUUAAAUUAAGGUAUAAACAGUUAAAUAUGAUCAAGAACAUCUAAGAUGCAUGCUGAUAAAGUUCCACAAAUUUUGAAAAUCGAUUUCUUACACAUCGAGUGGUGUUAAGAUCAAUGACCCGGAAUUUACAAAAAAAGGGCUUUUUUUUAUAUAGGUCUUCAAAAAUUAUGAUUUUUUGUAAGUAGGUCUAUUUUAUGUUGUAAAUCACUUUCAAGCGGUUUAGAUCUUCAUUUUGAAACUUUUGUGAUUGGAUUUUAGCUUGUGUUAGUAGUGUGUAACUUAAAAGUGUGUAAUUGGGUCUCUACUCUAGAUAUAUUUAUCUUGCAACCUCAAAUUUUUAAAUAGGCCCUUUAGAAACUUAUUUUCGAGUAUAUAUUAACCAAUUCGUGACGAACUGGAUGACUUUCGAGUCUCAACUUAGAUAAACAUAUUUUUAUAGCUGCAAAUAGAUGAUUUUGCCGGGAUAUAUUAAUAAAAACCCCUAAGUAGUUUGUACUUCUUUGGAUUUUGAUGUCAUGGAUGCUUAUGCAGGAAUUCAUUUCUGGAAGUAGAUACACGGAACAUGGAAAACGCAUUUGAGCCAGUACAAAUGUUCCCCGACUCUAUGUACAGGUCGUUGUCGUUUGAGAAUAUAUUGGCGACUAUGCUCGCCGAUCCACAAAAUCAUUCGGCAAGUUUAAGUAGAAGUGAAAGUAUGAAUGAUCUUGAAGCCUGUGGAAUUCCUCUGUUCCCUAAUGACCUGUCGGAAGAUUUCGAGAAGACUGAUGACUGCUCAUCUUCAUGCGUGAAUAUGCCAGACGGGUCUGUAAUACUUCGUGCCGAGGUAAAAUCAUCUGUCGUUUCGUUAAUUGAUAAGGUCGUGUUGAUGCAUAUUUACCAAAAGAAUUGAUGAAAGAUUAGACAUUCUGUUCGAAUUCUCUUUAGCCAUUAAACUUGCCAUAUUUUAGGUUUUAUUUGCUCUAUGCUUCGAGUCCUUAGUUUUGAGGUUUGAAAUGUAGUAUCUUGGAUUUCGAGUUUCUGCUGAAUUGUUAAUGUACAGAAGAAAACUAAAUGCUAGUAUUCGAAUUUCGAUCACCUUUAAUCUGCUGUCUCAUAGCUGGUUUUCACACACAUUUUUGUUGAUAGUUUAUUAAUUCCUUAAUUAUUAUUUAACCUUACUUCCUUUGGAUGAGAAAUGUCCUUAUAUUCUUAUUAUUAUCAUGUUCCAGAGAGGCAUGACCUUGGGUGCUUCAUGUUUAGUGUAAUUUCACUCUCAGGAUUCGGAUCCCUACAUAUUCGUUCCGGCUGAAGUUAGACCAACAAGUGAGAGCAAAUUAGUUGCUGCUGAUGCAGAGAAGCCUAAAUGUUCGGAGGCGACAGUGCUGCGAGAGCUUGAAGAUGCAAUAUUGCUGGUAAAUUCAACAACGAAUCCUACGUCGUUUUCCCCUAAAUUCAUUUCGUGUUUCUGAAGUAUGCCAAUUGAACAGCUAAAUGAGGAGACGAGGAUUUGCUUCCGCGAUUCUUUGUACAGACUUGCUAGUAGUUCGAAAGACAAAAAACGCAAAAGAGAUGAAAGCAGAAUCACGGAGACGACUGUUGUCGCUUCGGCUCCAAAGAUGAAGGGUGUAAGUUCAAGGUAUGCCGCGAAAAUUUUCCUUGUUGCUAGUUCGGAGCUUCUGUAUCUGACAUUUUCCUAGUUGCUGGUUCAUGCUAAUAAGUAACAUAAUGUCUAAUCCUGUAUUAAUGGUAAUUCCUUCUCUUGUUUUUUGUAAUCCAUCGGAACUUUUGGCAUCGUUAUACCAUUCCGACAAAUGUAUCGACACAAUAAAGGCUUAAAUACAAAUAACCCCCCUUCAAUUUUCGCCGUGUAUAUAAAAUUGCAUCAAUUUUGAUCCUUAACUUUACAAAUGUCUGAAAUAGGCAGAAGGACAUUAUUAGUUGUGUGAAUCUGCAACUAGCUUAUCUUUACGAAAUAAAACAGGAGUUUUUCACAAACUUUGGUAAUUUAAAUCUGCAAGCCACCUACUCGCAUUUGCGCGCGUUUUCUUCUUCUUUAUCUUGCUUACUCAAGUCAUUAUUACUCAUUUCAGGGCAAAUAAAUCUGAGUGCACGGAAACGGAGACCAACAUAAUCGAUAGGACUGUCGCGAACCUCGUGUUCAAUCAGUCAUUUGCUGGCUCUUCAGACGCGAAAAAUCCUGUGCUGGCUUCGUAAGUGAAAGGAAAAUCAUUCGGCAGUUUCGGGCUCGUGCACCAAGUCAGAUCUUCCAUGACCAACUCUACUCUAUUGUAUGAGUGAUAAGUUGCACCAUGGAUCUUUUUGAGCAAGUAACAAGAAGCAAUGAGUAGGAACAAGUUAUUACUUUUUGUAACUUAUCUAAACUUUGGAUCAUUUUGAAUUGACUACGUAAACUUUCGAAAGGUUGAUUUUACUAUCCAACCUGUCAAUCUGUUUAAUUUCAGUCAGUCGACGAUGCUUCGACUUCAAAAUUUAAGUUUAUUAAAACAAGCAAUUAUCUCAAACUUUGAAAUCAAAGUAUCGUCGACUGACUUAAAGCAAACAAAUUGAAAAUUCGAAUAGUAAAAUUGAAGUUUUGAAAGGUGGGUAGUUGAGUCAAAAGGUUGUAAAUUUUUACCUUGUAUUGAUCCAUCUAGUUUGAGCAGACAUUUUUGUGCAGAUCUCGUGAUGUUAUUGUAUAUGUCAAAAGGAUGUGUAGUUGUAAAAAUAUGAGAUGCCACCAAAAUUGGAGAUUAUAAUUUUGGAUAAUGUUCUAUGAUGACCUCUCCUAAAUGCUUUGCUUAUACUCUGGACUGGAUGAUCUGUUCUUUUUGUUUUUCUUUAAUUUGUAGGCUAGAUUAUGAAGGGGUAAAUUGCACUAUUGGUUCUCAAACUACGUGGCGCAUGAUAUUUUGUUUCUCGAACUUUUAAUUUAUUACAAUUACAGCUGGCUUGAAUUUCUAAAAUGUGGUUGCGAUUAAGUCCUACAAUAUAAUUUAGUUGACUAAAUGGUAAUAUGCCGGUGAUGUAACUAUAACAUAAUAGUAUACAACACUGUCAUAUUAGCGACACAUUAUUUGUCAAUCAACUAAAUUAUAUUGUAGAAUUUAAUCACAAUAAUUUAAAAAGUUUAAACCAGUUAUAACAAUAAAUUAAAUUUUGAGGACCAAAUUAUUACCUACCUUACAAAUUGAGGACCAAAAGUGCAAUUUAGCCAUUGUAAACUUCAGUGCAAGCAGUUAAAAUAAGGGAAGAUUUUGGGUGAAGGCCCCUGAGUUAAUUAAUUAAUUAAUUUGUUAAGCCCAGUUUGAAUGUCGGAAUAAAUUAUGUGAUAAUAACUGAUUCGAUAUAUAAGAAUUUUCUAUUGAGAUUAAAAACUUGGUUUAGACAUUGUUUUAGUAACAUAAAGAAGAAAAAAAAAGAAUAAAAAAAUUCAAAUAAUUACAUUGAGAAGUAAAUAGAGAAAAUAAUAAUUAAUAAAAGGGCGAGAUUUUGGCAAGAUAAGUGUUGGGUUAGUGAUAUCAAAUUUACUUAUUAGCCUAAUUGGUUUUAUUUUGGAUUUGGUUCAACAACUCAUGUAAUGGGCUAGUUAGUAUUUGGUUUGGGCUUUAGUUGACCCAUUUGGUAUGUUAAGCCAAGUGGAGUUAAGAGAGAACUCUUUGGCUGCGUUUGGUUGGAGACUAGAUUUUGGAGAACAACUUUUGUUGUUCCCGAGAACAGUGGAUAUUCCGGUACAAGAUAGAACAAUUGUAAAUUUGUGUUUGGAUGAAUUCGAGAAUAUUCUAGAGGAUAUCCUUAAUAGCGUUCGGAUAAAAAGUCUAGAACAACGUCUAAAUAUAUUUUUAAAAAUAAAAUAAUUAAUUUAUAUUAGUAUAUUUUAUAUAAAAUUAUUUAUAAAAUUAUUUCAUAUAGUAAUUUAUAAUAUAAUAUUUUAUGUAAGAAUCUAAUUUAAAAUAAUAUAUUUUAUUUUAUUAUAUAUAAUAAUUUAUUUUAUGUAAUAAUUUAUUUUAUAUAAUUUAUUCAUAAUAUAUUAAUGAAUAAAGUAUAAUACUAACAAUAUCCCUAUAUUUUUAAUUAAUAAUUAGUAUAAAUUUCAAUACAAAUGGCGGAAUGACUGUUAUUUAUAGUACUGUAAAAUUGGUCUCAACGGUGAAACAACCAUCUAGAAACGGGCACGACGGCCUAUGACACUAUCGGUAUAUUCAGAAUAUUACGAUCUGUUAAUCUCCCCAUGCUAACAAACUCCAACUACCCACCUAAUUGGUUUUGGCCAAAUUACAAGGGGUUUGGUACAGUAACCUGGCUUUCCGCAACACUAACAAACAGUGACAUCCCUUGCAAAUCUUGAAUUUUUGAUUUGAAGAGCUUAUGCGGCUAAAACCUCUUUAAUUGCGUUUUGAAGAUGGCUCUUUCGGCGAAAGUGUUUACAUCUUGGUCCGUGGCAUGUGAAAGUCAUGGUAACUAUUCGUUAUCAUCAAGAGGACAGUGAUUAAGAGCAAGUUGAAUCUUCAUCCAAUAUGAAAAGCCAACUAGGGAACUCUUACUCCAGAAGCACAUCUAAUAAAUGCCAACUUCGCAACCAACCGCAAAAAGACCACAGACAACAUUAUUUCAAGUGCAAAAAUUCCAAGUACUUAGAUCCUGCUCAAACAAAUAUCUAGGUUUAGACUUUUGAUAAGUAACACAUUUUGACCUAAUUAUUGUACUAUAAUAAGAAUCAUCUGUCAUCUCUUUGAUAAGAAAUGCUAAAACUUGCCGAAGCAAAGGUAGGGGAGAUGAGAGGUCAUAGUAACUUCUGGAAUCAUUGCAGGCCUUCAGAAGAAACAAUUCCAGCAGGAUGCGAUACCUAGGUAUUAAUGGGCUAUACACUUAUAGAUUCCAAAAGCCUCUCGACUUUGUGCCAAAGAUUACCUAAAAGCGUGACAAAUUCAAGCGUUAAUGCAGCGUAUCAGAUCUAUUGUUCUCCAUCUCAUCUCGCCCUCAUCAAAUCAACAUAUGCCGAAUCCAUGAUCGCGCUUCUCGCGUGGUCAACUUUGAUUGUGCGACCCAUGAAUCUUCUACGCUGUUUUGGAAUGUCACGCUCAUGACCGUCUUUCCAAUACACGAGUACUCGGCCUCUCGACUGUUUCCAGUUGAACAGUGGUGAUAUCUCAUAACAUUAUAAGGCAGAGAUACUAUAUAUCGCCGAUACUGUACCCAAUACAAUGAGCUACUAAACGCUAUUCAAUGCUAGGCUGUUGUGUAUUGAGCCACUAUUAUAUAGAUCGAAUAUCAGAGACGUAAAAAAAACUCCAAAAGUGAGCCCCAUGUCAAGUAACAAUAACAAUUAGCAAAACAAAAAUUUUAGUUUAAGUAAACCUAGUUUAAGAAAUCUAUGUUCAUAUUUAUAGAUAAUAAAUGACUCUUCAAGGGAAAAGAUGUAAUCAAAUAUUGCACAACAGUCGUGGAGUCUGUUUCUGCAAUAUGCCUAUAAAUUACAGCUUACCAGCCGGAAUCAUGACAUUCUUGUGCCUCUAACCCAUGCAUCACUCUAUGGCCUAAUUGUUAGAUAGAUAGUAGAUUAUAAGGCAACCUGCAACUGAAGAAAGCAAGCAUCACCCCGAUUGCAAGCUGAAUUGCUCUCAUGUAUCUUAUUCACUAUAUUUGAUUCAUGGCAAUCGAUGUGCUUAUACAUUGCUUCAGUUUAUAUCUCAAAGGGACUUAUAUCACUGUGUAGGAUUUAUUAAAAACAUAUAAAAGUGACUGGUAUCAUAUCCUUUAUUCUGUCUAUACCNNNNNNNNNNNNNNNNNNNNNNNNNNNNNNNNNNNNNNNNNNNNNNNNNNNNNNNNNNNNNNNNNNNNNNNNNNNNNNNNNNNNNNNNNNNNNNNNNNNNNNNNNNNNNNNNNNNNNNNNNNNNNNNNNNNNNNNNNNNNNNNNNNNNNNNNNNNNNNNNNNNNNNNNNNNNNNNNNNNNNNNNNNNNNNNNNNNNNNNNNNNNNNNNNNNNNNNNNNNNNNNNNNNNNNNNNNNNNNNNNNNNNNNNNNNNNNNNNNNNNNNNNNNNNNNNNNNNNNNNNNNNNNNNNNNNNNNNNNNNNNNNNNNNNNNNNNNNNNAUACUUUGAUCAAUAGAGAACAUUGCAUAAAGUAUGACAGCAUCAUAGCUCAGCAUGUAUGAAUCGUCAUUUGAAUUGAACUGGCGGCAACAUUUGGCUAAUACCAUGCUUCCAAGCCACAAAACAUCUGAUUCCACCAUGCAUCAUAGGUAAUGGGAUGAUUUCAUCGGAAUCCAUAUUGGGACUGAAAAACACCAAUAACCGAGUAAAGGCAACAAAUUAAACCCAAAAAGGAACUAAAAAGCUCACCUCCAGGCUCCAAGUAUGCGGAUAAUAGAACGUUUUUAUAUCAUAGUCAAGUAGGGACUAGAGAUCCUCAAGGCCCAACUAUUAUCGAGAAGAUUUUGCAUCUCACAACAGAGACAUAUAUAGAACAUCAAAAAGGCCACUUACUUGUCUUAGGUGGAAGUAGAUAAAGAGUAGUAAUGGAGGGACUUGACAAGUCAAGCAAGCUUCAGAGAUGUAUUAACUUGCAGCCGAAAAAAUUGACUCAAUUAAUAACAAAUCUGCACAGGAAAUCGAGCAGUAUCCAUCCAUUCUUGAGAGGGAGAUGCAGAUGCACAUUAAACAACUCCAAUUAAUGUUGGUUUUGAAGAAGAGAAGAAGAUGAGGCCUCUCGAGGCGAGUCGACAACUCGAAGCAACACAAUCCAAGAAGGAUCUAACUUUCUACUUUGCAUCCGAGGGAAAUCACCUGAAUUUAUUGAAGAUCUGCACAAGGAACUGAAGAUCGGCUACCAAUUGAUGAGGUUGGGAGGUAGAUUGAAAUCGCUACCAAUUGAUGAGGUUGGGAGGCAGAUUGAAAUCAUUCCCACAUAGUUAAUGCUGGUUUUAAGCUCCAGAGGAAGGAUUAGGUUUAAUAUGGAGUUAAUAUGAAAGAGAAAAAACCGGCGGCGUUGAAAAGUGAAGAGAGCUGAGAAGAAGAGGAGUAGGUGAGAGGAUGGAGUUAAGAGGGAUUUGAGGAGGAAGAAGAAGGCUUCAGCAGGGGAAAGAGACGACAAUGGCAUAGAAUGGGUAGGUGAGUUGGUGGAGAGGAGAGUAAAGUUGCUCGGGUUUCGAGAAAAUUUAUUUUUUACUACAUCUACCCCUGCAAUUCUCGAGAUUUAAUCCUUAUUCGAGGGGUGAGGAUGAAUAAAAUUAACGGGUUAUUCCAUGAUAUUCUGGAAUAACCCGUUUUGACCGGGUUAAAAUAUUUAGAUGGAAUUCAAUUUUGUUUGGCAAAAUAAUUAGGAUAAAUCAGUUUAUUCCCCUGUUAUUCUGUUACCAAACGCAGCCUUAUUAUUGCUUCUUAUAUUACUAUUUUUUAAUUAUUUAUUCAUCCUAUCGUGUGAAUUACUGUACUAGAUAAAUAUUAAAUCGUAAACUUUUAAAUCCGAUAUAUGUCACCGUUUGGAUGGGGGAUAAGGGGAGGGACAACCCUUAUCCCCCUUUAUACCCAAAUAUAAUUUUUUUACUCGAGAAUAGUAAUUCUCGGGUAUCUGAAAUAAGCUGGUAUAACUAUUCCUACCAAUAUCUUUAUUUUUUAUAUAUACAUACCCACUAUUUUUUUUAUUUUAUAUUAUUUAUUUAAAUAUUAUUUUUUUUAUUUUUAAAAAUAGCUCAAUUUUUAUCCAAAAAUUAUUUUUUUUAUCUCCAUUCUUAUACCUAUCUCCGAAAAUAUAUAGUGCCAACGCGUCACUCACAUUCUUUGAAUGUGGAUAUAAAAGUGGGAAAACAAAAAAGCGUUAGAAUGGCAAAUUCCCGUAAUUUCAACCAAUCAGCGGGGUCAAAUGUCCCGCACGCAGCUCGAAAAGUAGAGGGCCGCGGUUCCCGUGCCUUUAUUCCCCGGAAGACGAGCAGAGACCCCUCUCUCUUUGUCCCUCUUGUCCUUUCCAUCGCUCCUUUCCUCUUCCUUUCCCACCACCACCACCACCACCGCCACUCCCCCCUCCCCACUCCCACACUACUAACAAAAAAAAAAAAAAAACAAACAAACACCUCUCUCUCUCUCUCUGCUACUAUACCACGCUUGCACUUGUGUACUUUUUAUCUCACUAGAAGAAGGAAGGAGAAAGGUGGGAGAUCGAGAUGGUGGAGGGGAAAGGGUCGACGCUGGUCCACGUCCUCGUCAUCGCCCUCAGCCUCACCGCCUUCGGCUUCGCCAUCGCCGCCGAGCGCCGCCGCAGCACGGUCAGUCUCAUUUCUCUCCCUCGCCCGAAAAAUCGAUCCAUCGAUCCGGUAGAAAACGGACAGUUCACCAAUAAUAAUCCUACAGUUAAGAUCAGGUGAAUCACAUCAAAUCAACCCCCACACUUUUGCGCAUUGCAUCCAUGUGUUUUCGUAUUUUCUCAUUUUAGUAUCCAUAGUUUUAUUUUUCUCUUUUUUCACCCUCCUGUUAACUUUUCGUUAAAUUAUUAUAUAAAAAAAGCUUCAGAUACACCAUUUAUAGUUUAUCGAAUAUUAUUUCCUUUAUUACUCUUUAGUUUUUACUUUGUUACUGAUUUAACAAAAAAAAAUUAAUAAAAAAAAAAAAUCCACAUGGUACGAAAGUGAUAAACUUUAAGUCACGAGGUACUAAUGUGAGAAAAUGCGAAACCAUGUGAGAAAAUGCGAAACCGAGUGGUAUUUAGGCUGCGUUUGGUUGGAGAACUAGAUUUUGGAGAACAAUUUUUGUUGUUCCCGAGAACAGGGGAUAUUCCGGUACAAGAUAGAAUAAUUGUAAAUUUGUGUUUGGAUGAAUUCGAGAAUAUUCUAGAGGAUAUCCUUAAUAGCGUUCGGAUAAAAAGUCUAGAACAACAUCUAAAUAUAUUUUUAAAAAUAAAAUAAUUAAUUUAUAUUAGUAUAUUUUAUAUAAAAUUAUUUCAUAUAGUAAUUUAUAAUAUAAUAUUUCAUGUAACAAUUUAAUUUAAAAUAUUAUAUUUACUUUAUUAUAUAUAAUAAUUUAUUUUAUGUAAUAAUUUAUUUUAUAUAAUAUAUUCAUAAUAUAUGUAAUGAAUAAAGUAUAACUUACAAUAUCCUUAUAAUUUAAUUAAUAAUAGUAUAAAUUUCAAUACAAAUUAAAAAAUAUAUAUGAUACAUGAAAAAAUACUUUUUUAUGUAUAGUACUUAAUAUAAAAUAAAAUAAUUAAAUAUUAAAAUAUAAAUAACAAAAUUUAAUAAAAUAAAUAAUAUAUCAAAUUUAAUUAAUUUUAUAUUAUAUAAUAAAAUUUAUGUGUAAAUAUAUUAUCAUUAAAAUAAUAUUUAUAUUAAUAUAUUUAUUUAUAUAUCUAUUUAUCUAAUAAAAUAAAUAGAAGAACUAAGUUGUUCUCAAUUCCCUAGGAACAAUUUUUAACGGGUUGUUCCAGAACAACGCAGAACAACCCGUUUUGACUGGAACAACCCGUUCUCCGCUGUUCCUCUACCGUUUGGUUAUAAUUUCGGGAAUAUCCCGUGCUGUCCCGAAAUAUUUCCGGUACCAAACGCAGCCAAAGGGUUAGAGGGAGUGAGUUCUCUUUUUGCUCUCUAGGUUUUCCCUUUUCUUGUAAUAGAGAAGAGAGGUGUAGAGAAAGUUGGAGAAGGAGCUCUCUUGUUCUUCUUGCUUGAUUCAAAAGCUUCCAAGGUAGAUUGGAAGAAUUCUAAGAGGUAUUCCGAAGCGGGACCCGCGGAAUCGGAAGGUGCUUCAAAGAAGGUGUAGCAAGAAGGGAUUUCUAUUGAAAGAUUGUAAGCCCAUUAAAAUAGAAUGGUAAUCUCUAACCAAAUCUUGUAAUCUCCUCAUUUGAUAGUGGAUUUGAUCUCUCCGUGCCCGUGGAUGUAGCCUGGUUUGGGUGACCACGUAAAUCUUGUGUUGUUGUUGUGGUUGUGCUUGGAUUUUUCUUUUUCAACUUCAUUUACUCCAAUCUUGCAUAUCUUAGUUGUGGAUAAUUUAGAUACAUCACAUUUGUUUACUAGUGUGAUUAGUAUCUUGAUAGUGAAGGUUCCGUCAUUAGCUCACUAC
rnacentral:lncRNA from 1 species